rnacentral:lncRNA from 1 species
UCGUAUAUCGUGCCCUAACUUCCCUUUCGUCCCCAAAUUUCCAUUACUGAAUUAAGGUUUCCGUUACAAUGAUCUGAGGCACAGUCACAAUAUUUGAUCGCUGCGUUUACUUCCGAAUUCACGGUAUGUUAACUCCGUCUUCUUAGACUUGCAAUUUAAGCAUUGCUUUUCUGCGAUCUUUUUUUUUUUCUUUCAAUAAUGUGUUUGGGUUCUGUUGUGAGAUAACGACGAAUUUAGAUCGAGGGGUUUCAUGAUUGAUUGUGAUGAAUUUUGCUGCAUUUAUGUUUCUGCAUUUAGAAAAAAUAAAAAAGGUAAAUUACGGUAGAGAUAAGGUCAAAUUACGAAAAUAGCCCUCAUGUUUGGGUAAUUACAAACACGCCCGUCAACUAUGAGUUUUCUUACACAUUCAUCCUUAUGGUGUCAAACUCAAUAGAAUAUUCUAGAUUAUGUGGAAUGUUUUCUAGUUUGUACUCGUUUUGUGCAACAAUAUGUAGUUUCUUAGUGCACCAUAAUCUGAUAUAUACAAGCCAAUAGACAAAUCUUACGAUCAUCUUGUUUGAUAAUGUGUAGCUCGAAUGGGGUAAAACGGAUACAAACUGAAGAAUAUUCCACAUAAUCUAGAAGAUUCCACUAAAUUUGACACCGCAAUGGUAGACGUGUAAGAAGAUUCAUAGUAGACGGCUGGUUGUAAUUACCCCAAUAGGAGGGGUAUUUUUGUAAUUUGACCUUAGCUCAGUAGGUGGCCGUAAUUUUCCCUUAAAAAUGGUAGAUAUUGUGAUGUGUUUUCAUUCUUGAGGUAAAAAACAGAAUAAAUUUUUGUGAUAUCUAUAAACUAUGGAGGAAACUUUGUAGUAGUAAAGACUUGUAUUUGAAAAAUGUAUAGGACUCACUCUCUUAGAUAUUCUAAUAUUACAUAAGAAAGCCAACUUAAUAUUACAACUUCAGCAAACCUUUAAUUUCCCUAAAAUCAAAUAAUUAAAUAGUAGAAAAAAAUUGAAAAAAACUAGAGUAGUUUUAUCUCCUCUGGAAGUUGAAUGCUCGGAUAGAAUAGGCGAAGAUGAAAGUGAAAAGCACAACAAAUCCGAGAAGUAUACCCGCAACCAUUCCAAGCAUGUCGUACUCGAACCCGUAAUAAUCCUUCAAGAACUGUUCAACCGUAACUCCACUAUCCAUUGGUUCCUGAAUUUUUCCAAAUUGAGUCACUAACAACCCGUACAGAGUGUAAGACAAUGGUGUCGCCCAAUAGUACCAUCUCCACCAAAUAGGGAUUCUCUGUCGUAUUUUAUCACACGUGUUAGUGAAUCAAUUUUACGCGGUAAUAAAAAAAAUGUGUUGCUAACAUAGAAGAAAGGAAACUUACUGGUCGUGGGAUGAUAAAUCCCGAGAAAAGAUUCCAUAGCGAGUAGAAGAAAGAAGAAAUGAUGGCGGCAAUGUUGUGGUUUGGUGUCACAGCUACAGUCAUCAUUCCGUAUAGGACAAAGUACAGUAACGAGAAGAACAUGAAAUAUAUGAACCAGAAGAAUUUCUCGGCCGUCCAGUCGAAUCCCAUCAUUGAGUAGACUAUCACACCGUAGAUUAGCGAUUGUACGAAUACGUAAGGAAUUUCGAUGAGAAACUGCACGCGUUGAAAUUUAAAUAGACUGUUAAGUAAUUCCGAAUUUUCGAUAACUUUUUUAUUGAAAGAUUAAAGUAGGGACUGCUCUUUUUUUUUUCUUUUUUGGUGUCGUCACACACUCACCUGUGAGAAUGCGUAUGGUAAAGCUGAAUACAUCCCAGCUGCUCUUUCUCGAUAAAAGACGGUUCUUUCAAUGGCUACUACAGGUUGUACCGUGGAACCGUAUUGGAACCCUAAAAAGAGAAUAGAGGUGUACAUAGAACCCAUUGCAUUGGACAGAUCUUGUUGAGUUUUCCUGCAAUCACGAAAAAAUAUUUGUUAGGGCGAGAUUUUUCGACAUGUCGAAAUUUUUUGUGUUUUUUUUUUGUUUUUUUUGUUGACUUACCAUUUAGAUCCCAAGUCCCAAAAGAUCGUUCCGAAUACAAGGGCUAUGAAUGUUGUGAACACGAAUCUAACCGCCGUGUAAGGUGGGUUCCUCCAGUAAGACCAGUGUUGUUUCCAAAGGCAAGCAACGCAUUGCAUGAAAAAAGAUUGGGAAUAUUUCGUCGGGUAAAAAAGAUCCUUUGUGCCUGGUUGAGGGACGCUUAAUUCCUUGAUUAGGGCCUUGUUCCGUCUGUAAUUAAUUCAAUUCGAGAUUUAUUAGCAUUUAUACUCGUAAUUUUUUUUUAAUAGAUGGAGGAAAAAUGAACUCACGUGUAGAGAUCGGAGUUUCUGUAGUGGUCAGUAAAGUCGACACCCAAGACGAGUUCUUGCGCAGAAGUAGUGACUUCCAACAUCCAUGUUGCUGGAUUGUAACCGUCUUUAAUCUUCGGUACUCCUUCGAUUGAUUCAAAGUAUUUGAUCAAAUGGAUCGAUUGACGACCCAAUGGCCCCACGUAUAUUUCUUUUCCUCCCCUUUUCAUCAAAAAUAGCUGCCAAAAAAAUAAAAAUUCAUCUCAUCUUUAGUAUAACUUAUAUAUGCACAGAUGAGAGAGUUUAUAGCAUUUAGUACCCAUGUGUAUAGGGAUUUUUUUUGUUUUUAAAAUAACACGGGGGUGCUGUACGCAAUAAACCCGAAAAAUUAAAAAUUAAAUAUUGUGUUGUGAUCUAGCUUUUUUACCUCGUCGAAUGCUUCGAAUAUGUCGAUGCUAGGCUGAUGGAUAGUGCACACAACUGUUCUUCCCGUGUUUACGGUAUUUCUAACAGUUCUCAUUACUAUAGCAGCAGCUCUUGCAUCGAGACCAGAAGUUGGUUCGUCCAUAAAAAUAAUCGAAGGGUUCGCCACAAGCUCUACUGCUAUCGUAAGCCUUUUCCUCUGCUCAGUCGAAAGCCCGGUUACUCCGGGCAAUCCAACUAACGAACCUCUCAACGGAGUAAGUUCCACUAGUUCCAUCACCUCCUCAAUAAACGUCUAUAAUAAUAAAAUUAAACAAAAAAAAUUAAUAAUUUAAUAAUAGUAGUGAAGUUUCGUUAUAGAGUGGCGUAAUCGCAGUAUAUUUUACCUUUCUUGUUUCUGCGUCGACAUCCGAAGGCAGUCUCAACCAAGCCGAGUAAACGAGGGACUCGUAAACUGUGACAUUGGGAGAAUGAAUAUCGUUUUGUUCACAAUAUCCGGAUAUUCUUGCAAAUGUUGACUGAUUCUUCGGGUAACCAGAAAUUGUGAUAUUUCCUUCGAUAUAUCCACCUGUCUUUCUGCCAGCUAGGACGUCCAUUAACGUUGUUUUCCCGGCCCCACUUACUCCCAUGAGAGCUGUAAGCACACCUGGCCUGAAAGCUCCACUCACACCCUUUAAAAGUUCGAGUUUGUCUUCUGUCGCACCUUGCGUUUUCAUUUCCUGCAAUUUUACGUACGAGAUUAGUUUGCAUGAUUAUACUUAAAAAUGGGAAAUUUUUUUUUAUUUUUUUUUACAUACAGCUGGCAUGUCGACGGAAUAUGUGAUGUCAUCGAAGGUUAGAGAAUGGGGUUCGAAGGGAAGAAUCAUUCCUCUCUUGCGGUUUGCAUUGGCUUCGAUUGCGUCUGUUCUUGUGGAUGAAGAACCGGAAGACAUGCUUCUUCGUCUGAUCGCGUUGCCUUGAGCUGAAACAGGGUAAUCUUCGGUGUCUUGAGGUAAUACAGCUUGAGUUUUAUCGAAAGCUGCAACGUAUGGUUUUUUAUAUGUUAAAGAUUGAUAAAUUAAUUUUAAAAAUAAUAUAUUAAAAAAAAAUGAAAAACUUACGGUCGAGAUAUGUGAGAGCUAAAAGAUAGAGGAUGUUGAAUAGAAAAAUGAAACCGAAUGUUGCCCCUGUUCCAAUCCAGUACCAAUACGGUUGAGGAAAGAAGCCUCGAGAUUCCAUCACUAGAACUCCUAAUUUCGUUCCGUUUACCAACUAUAAAAAACGGUAACAUUCUUGAUUAGAUUUUUCGAGAAAAAUAAAAAAAAAAAUUAAAAAGCUCGAUGCUUCGACUUACUUUGCUCCACUGAUGCCCUGUGAAUUCAUUAACGAUAAUUGCAUUCUGAGCGUACAUCAAAGGAGAUGACCAAAAUGCCCAUAUCCACCAUUUCAUUACAUCCUCUGCCAUAACCAAAAAACAAAAUCGAGUGUCAUGAAACAGUGUUAUUUAUUAAAUGACGACUUUUUAUUUAUUUUUCUUUCGUACCUCGUGCUAGGACAACUCCACCUAGCGCGAAAAGCAUGAGCAAGGCAAACAAGCCGAACGUGUUUGCGACGAUCAUAUUUCUACCAGCUGCACCGAU